UGGGGAAUAUUGCACAAUGGGCGCAAGCCUGUUGCAGCCAUGCCGCGUGUAUGAAGAAGGCCUUCGGGUUGUAAAGCACUUUCAGCGGGGAGGAAGGCGAUAAGGUUAAUAACCUUGUCGAUUGACGUUACCCGCAGAAGAAGCACCGGCUAACUCCGUGCCAGCAGCCGCGGUAAUACGGAGGGUGCAAGCGUUAAUCGGAAUUACUGGGCGUAAAGCGCACGCAGGCGGUUGAUUGAGUCAGAUGUGAAAUCCCCGGGCUUAACCCGGGAAUUGCAUCUGAUACUGGUCAGCUAGAGUCUUGUAGAGGGGGGUAGAAUUCCAUGUGUAGCGGUGAAAUGCGUAGAGAUGUGGAGGAAUACCGGUGGCGAAGGCGGCCCCCUGGACAAAGACUGACGCUCAGGUGCGAAAGCGUGGGGAGCAAACAGG
rnacentral:rRNA from 1 species